UGAAUAUUAUUAGGUUGCCCCGCUUGGUUGAGUAAGGAAUAAAAAAAUUGCUCAGUGUAUGCUUUAACCUCAUCUAAAUUCUCAAUAAGAUUGUUAUCUUUGUCUCUGCAUUUCCUGAUGCGGUUAACGGCUCUUCGAGUAGCAAUGGAAGCAUAAAAAAACUUAGUAUUGGAAUCCCCUAAAGUAAGCCAAUGCUGUCGAGACUU
rnacentral:lncRNA from 1 species